AAAAAAACCCUCGUCUCCCUUCCCCUUCCACGAACUAUUCAAGAAAAUUAAUACACACACACAGCAGUUAAAGAUUAUUCUACACAGAUUCUUUUCUAUCAACAAUUUGACUAAUCUUUUCCCCGUCCAUAACUGCCAGAAAAGUCACGACAGAUCAAUGUUUUUUCAUCAUCAUGAAGCUAUUAAUCCUCAUUGACUACAUCCAAACCUACUUGAUGACUCGCACCAUGUGGCAGCUUUAGAGAGUACCACAUGGACAAAACAGGAUCAAACUAGAACCGAACCUAUCAUUGAACUGUUCCAAAACUGGCUGGAACUGGAAAAAUCCAGUCCAUUUCUG
rnacentral:misc_RNA from 1 species